CAACAACGUCCAAAGAACUGCAGGCCUCACUUUCCUCAGUUAAGAGGCAACCAGAUUAGAUCCUACAUAUCCAUGCACUUGGCAAAAUCUACAAAGAUGCUUGCCUACAAGCCCAUAAAUGGACCAACACCAUCUUACCUUGGAGAGCUCAUCACACCUCGCACUGCACCAUGCUGUCUGAGAUCCUCCAGCACUGCUCAACUGUUACCACCUUAAGUGGAGCGCGGGAUCGGCUGAACAGAGGGAGCCAGUGUGCAGAAGAAACCGGCGAUGAGCGACAGACCCAGGCCACCCCAAGCACAGAACAUGGACCAGCCGUAACCAUGGCUGAUGUCGUCUGGGAGGCCGUACAGCGCUGGAGCUGCAUGCUGCAUACAGACGAGGCAGUGUGACGUGAGACCUGCCACAUACUGCAUGAGGCCUCGGUCCCAGCAGCAGCCGAGCAUGCCAAUGAUCCAGCCGAAAAGGAUUAUGGCCACGGCCAUGCCCAUGAAGCCUGCAGUCAUCCUGCGCAGGUCUAU